UCAAAAAUAAUAAACCUAAAAGAAAAUGGAAAUUUUAGGGCAUUUUGUGUUAAAUGCCUAAUUUUGCCGAAAUGGGGAAUUUUAUUCCAUGAAUGGACCUUAGGUUAAAUUUUAUUAUGUGAUUAAUUAAAUUAAAUGUGAGAGACAUUUAAUUUAAUUAAUUAAUGUUAAGUUUGGUGAUUAAAACUUAAUAAGAGUGAAAAAGGUGUCAAAAGUCAAUUUGGACUUUUCUUCUUAUAAACCUUUAUUAACCUUUAUAAAAAAUAAAAAAAAAUAAAAUAAAAAUUAAUGGUCACAUAUAUGGAAAAGGGUGGCUGGCCAUGUGCUAUUUUAGAGUGGUGUGAACCCAAUUUUAUAAAAUUCAAAUCCCAUUUAAUUAAGAAGUCAAGUGGGCAAGUGGGUAGAAAAGCACUCAAGUGUUUUGUGAUAUUUUGAAGAGUUGUGUGAGCCAUUCUAACCCCCAAAUCCGACCACUCUCCCUCCCUCAUUCACUCUCAUCUGAUUUUUGAAGACUCUCUCAAGUGUUCUCUCCAUUUUGAACCCCAAGAACACCAAAGAAACUUGGAAGCUAAGUCUUGGUCUAGGAAGGGUUUUCCCUAAGGUAAAGUUUCAUUAAUCUAGACUUUUGUCAAGUUUUAAUCAUAGAGUUUCAAAUAGCUAAUUACCUAUGUUGUUGGAGGAAGUUGGUUAGGGUUUUUGAAGGGUUUUGAAGGAGUCAAAGCUUAUAGGAAGGUCCAAACCUUAAGCAAGAACACCAAAGAGUAUUGGCUAAGCGUAACUGGACUGAACGUUGGAGGGUGAAAACCUGCUGAGCGCUAAGGACUCCAAGUAAGAACAAGGGCAAGGCAGAGCAGUGAGCGCUGGAGUCUUCCUUGCAAAUGUACAUGUGGACCGACCUUUUGGGAAGCCUUUUUAUUUUUGGAAAUGUUGUGUAAUUUUCCUAAACUAGGCUCACUCUAAUCUUUAUAAAACAUGUUUGUAACUAAAUGUUAAGUAUGGCCAUACGACUUUUUAAAAAGUUUUUUUUUCUAUGGGUUUUUGAGGCAUUUUUUUAAAUGAAAACAUUUAUAUUUCCGCAUUAUCGAGUCUUGAAAAUCCGGGUCGUUACAGGGUGGGCCUAGCUCUCUGACCAGGUAGCAAGCCGCUGCUCUAAAGGGCAUGCCACGACCAUCACUGAAAAAUGAGGGAGAAUAUGGCUUUAAGGCUUGGGAACUCAAAUGUUAAGGCUCAGGACAAAUUUUACUACCCAAACUGGUAGAAUCUUAGGUCUCGGAGGCUAGAUUUACAUUCCAAAGUUAUUUAUUGGUUUAGAAUUUGAUGGAUGGUUAUUUAAAAUGCGUUGUGAUUAGGAUUUCAUCAAGGCUCGGGAUAGAGGGCUGUGCUCGUUAUCGCGGUGCUCAAAUAGCUCAGGACACAGAUAAGGAAAUUGUUGCACCUGUAGAGCAGGGCAUAGCUGUUGGGGUUUUAUGCCCUAAUUAAAACCCAAAUUCUUUGUAAUCUCAUUUUAUUAUCAAUAAAAGAAUAGAAAUCAUUUUUUGA